GCCUAACUGUAAACUAAUAGCCAAAAAAGUACGAGCCUCGCUUGAAACUUUAAGGACCUGGCGGUACUCUACAUCAACCUAGGGGGGCCUGCCCAAUAACCGAUAAUCCACGAAGAACCUUACCACCUCUAGCCUCCAGCCUAUAUACCGCCGUCUUCAGCACAUUUCACAAAAAAUGAAGCCCAGUAGUACCUCACACUAACACGUCAGGUCAAGGUGUAGCUCAUGAGGUGGAAAAGCGCGAGCCACAUUAAAAUACCAUACAGAAACCCUGUUGAAACACAAGGUGAAAGACGAACUUAGCAGUAAGCGGAAUUGAAUGCUCCGCUGAAUCAAAACAUGCCCUAGAGUACGC
rnacentral:rRNA from 1 species